rnacentral:tRNA from 1 species
GGUUGACUAGUUUAAGUAAAAUAAAAACUUUGUAAGUUUUAGUUUCUAAAGACAUCAU